rnacentral:rRNA from 1 species
CUGCUGCCUUCCGUAGGAGUUUGGGCCGUGUCUCAGUCCCAAUGUGGCCGUCCGCCCUCUCAGGCCGGCUACCGAUCGUCGCUUUGGUGGGCUUCUACCCCGCCAACUGGCUAAUCGGACGCGGAUCCAUCGUAUGCCGAUAAAUCUUUUCACACUAUACCAUGCGGUACUGUGCGCUUAUGCGGUAUUAGCAACUGUUUCCAGUUGGUAUCCCCCUGCAUACGGCAGGUUAUCCACGCGUUACUCACCCGUCCCG